GCCAGUCGCCCAUGACGUUCACGGCAUCUUUCUGUGCUGCCUUUCCCAUGGCUGUGGUUCCAUGCAUAGGGAAGCUACACGCCAUCCUUAACCCAGACUACAGCACUGGAGAAAUCGGAGAUUAGGUGCAGGAAAGGAGUACACAGUACACCUUCCCUGUGUUACUGCAGCGGGGGAAAUUUCUCUUUUCAAGGUUCAGCAAAACAGCCCACAGCAGCUCACAGAACACCCUUCAUGCACUUGAUACACAGGGCAACAAAGCUCAAUUGGCACAGCUGUUCCAGUUUGGAAUUUAUUUCUGCCUAAAAGUUGGAGGGGAAAAAGGGGGAAAGAAGAUUUGAGUGUUCAGUUUGGUUUUUCAGGUCAGAAUUUAACAAAACCUACACAGAAAGCAUUCAUGGUUCUUAGACAUAUCCUCCUCAUAGCUGAUAAGAUUAACCUGAGCACAAUGAUGUCCACUUAUUGUCCUCAGCAGAUAUAGUAUUUCAAGCUAAACAAACCAAGCGCAUUUCAUACAAGUCUUACUACCUGUGAAUUCAUUGAUAGGCUCACCUCAAGUUCCUCAUUGUACACUUCAGCAUUUGAAAUUAGAUUCUUUAAGCUGGUAAUUUCAUGCAUUAGUUGAAUCUGUGGAGCAAAUUAAAGCAAAAUUGCAGAGGAUGUUAGAAAGCACCCACACCAGUAGUUUUAGUUGCCAACACCAUGAAAACAAGCCAGGUCUAUCUUGUGUUUUCUUUUUUAUUAGUAUAUACUCACACAUUUACUCAAACUGCUACAAAGCAAGACGCUACAUAUUCAUUCAAAAUGGACAUGUGAGAUGCAAAGCUCUGUUUUAGCUCCCCAGUAAUUAAGAAGGAUUCAAGUACAAUUUAAUCUGCAAUAGUUUGACAAGCAAGAGCAAUGUGAUCAAAGCAAUUAAUGCAGAAAUUGUACAGAUACGAUACUUCAAAUUCCAGUCACGUUAAGCAGCUUUUUAUGACACAGUGCAGAUAUUUAUGAUUUAAUCUAUUCACUGACAGGAAUGAGAAGGUGCCAAAAUGGAAGUAAAACAAGCCAUGAACACAUUCAGUGGCAUUGCCUGAAAGAAAUCAUAAGUAGAAGACCAGAUAGGAGCUUUUUCCUUUACUUUCUCUUGGUCUUUGUUAGCAAAGUUUUACAAUAAGCACUCAUCUACAAGUACUCAUGUAUAGUCACAAGCAAAGGUAAGAAAAUGCAAUCUGCAAAUUUAAUAUUAGUGAAAAGCUUUAAAACAAGCACCAUCCUAUGAGUAUUCCUAUGUAGUUUACCUGUAUAAACUGAUAUAUUUAAUUAAUUUAUUUGGUGAAGUAUGUGACCUUUCAGUAUUGCUCUAAGUAAUCUACUACAUGGGUAUCAAUAAAUACUUACAUUUUAUGGACUGUCUUCAGACAUCUGAAAGCAAAUAAUUAAAAAAGCAACUCUUGCAAUGGAAGCUACUUUAGACAUUACAUCUGUUAUUAGAUACCCAAAAACUCUGCAGGGAAAACUAAUGUAGGAUUUAUUAAACAUUAGCUAAGAGAGAUAGCACAUUCAGUCUAGCAUACAAAGGGUCUUCUAAAAAGAAUAUUAAAUACAAGCUAAAUGGUAAUACUUUAUAGAGCAAAUUUCUUUAAGAUCCAGAAAUCACUGUAGGGGACACAAUACAAAUAAGCAGUGACAUUGUUAAAUUGCAACCUGAAAUAAAAACGUAAAAGGAUGUAAAAAACUUCAACAUUAGUGUCAUGAUCAGAAGAUUAGACAGACUAAUGUGCACAAGUAAUGUCCAGAAAAGCAAUCAGGAAAGAAACUGAACAAUACAUCCCUGUCUCAAGACCUCAAGUUACUGUUUGUGAAUCAACAUUCAAUGCUAUGUGGACUGAAUAAACUCCAGAAAGCACUUAAACAUAGAGAAUUCAUCUAUUUCAAUGCAGCUUACCUCAUGAUCUUUUUGUGUUUGCUUUUCCAGUGCUUCAAAUUCAUCGAUUUCUGUUUUUUCCUUCAGUUUCUCUUUCAGUUCAUUUAUUUCUGAUUUCAACUGCUCAUUUUCCAGCACUAGGUUAUCAAAGUUAGCUUGCAGGACGUUGACCUCAUUUACAGCAAUAUCCUGAAGAAGUAGCACAAGAAACUUUAGAAGCUGUUGCUGCAAUGUCAGCCUUAUUUCUAGAAAAUUCAGAAUAGACCUACCUUUUCUAGUGCUAAUGCUUCACAGAGUUGCACAGAUUCUUCAAAGUCUUUCUGGGUCUAGAAAAAGAAACACUCUCAGUUAGCAGAUCUACAAGAUCAAGCAAGUGGAGUAUUAUAUUCCUUGUUGCUUGUCUUUUCACACAGCUAAUCCUAUUUAAAGACCAGAGUUGACUGGAUCAUUUGCCACAAACCCACAGAAGCACAGAACCAUACCACAGCUUCACAGAGAUGUCCAAGAGACUUUCUAACCAGUUUCAAUAAUUCUACAGACACAGAACACUGGCUGAUCUUACUGAGAAGCAUGUCAUGCAUAUGUGCAGUAUCAGAAAGUCAAAACAGAUUAUGAUGUUACCCAAUUCAUGCUGGGACCAGCAACCCAUUCUACUUCUGAAAUUUGAUCAGGAACCAUCAGGCAAUGGCUGUCAUACCCAGAAUUCUCUAAGGUAGCUGAAAAGAAAGGUGUAUUAACAAAAGUACCAACAGAUUUUAAAGUGAGCAUCAAAUAUUCUCUCAUAAAAUAAUUUUACCACAUUAGAAAUAAUCAUUCGAUGGCAAAAACACAGCACACUGAGUAAGACUUCUGACUCUCAUGAUUUUCUGUUAUGAAAGGGAACACCACUGAAGUCCAAUCCCUAUAGUUAUGUUGACCAUCUUAUCACAAGUUUAUGAAGCCUAAAUCAAAUGCAGAAUAUAUGCUUAAGUACAGACUAGGAGAAGUUUGAGUGUCGAGGAAAGAAUCACUCAACAGUAACCUUCAAGAUGAAAGGAAAAAAAGCACCUACCCCCAUACAGAAAAAAAAAAAGCCUAGAACAAUCCACUUACAAGCAAACACAUGUUUGACAGGGGAGGUAAUAAGGAUGUAAGGUGUAAUUCAGCAACAAUACUGCUAAACUGUUCUCUUGUCUCCAGUUCAAUUUUCUUAGAAAAUUUAUUUUCCAACUUUCAGUUCACUCCUUAUGAAUCCUUGAAUUUUUCUAUCUCAAUCUUAUCUUUGAGUAAGGACUUCUAUUCUUGUUGAGGAUUUGGGGAUUUUACACACACACCUCUGCAUUUUUUGGGGAAACAAUGUGGGUUGAUACGGACAGUCUGUGUUAAAGAACACUUUCCCAAAAAACUAGGGUGUGUGGGUAGGCUGCAUGGCAAGUGUUCAUAGAACCUGCCAUUUACCUUACAGCUCUCCCCUUUGGUUUAAAGAAUUGAAAGCUCAAUAUCAAGGGAAGGUGGGGUAGUAGAAGCACUUUUCAUUGAAAAAUGUGAACAUCAACCCUUGGAGUCUUGUUAAUUUGUUUUUCAAUUUGUGCUAUCAAAGGAUCAACUUAUUCCCUUUGGGAAAUGUAAUGCAGUGCUUGCAAAGUUAUUUAUUGGAAUUUCACAGAAAAUGAAAUAGAAUGGUCUGGGUUGGAAAGGACCUCAAAGACCAUCUAGUUACUUACAAUCCUCCACAUCUGGUAUUGCUGGCAGAGACAACUUCAUUUUUUUUGUUUCAGUUGGCAUUACAUUUUCAAAGUCUUCAAAAAAGCUCACAUUUGCCUGGUUUAUUUUACCAGGAGCCCAAGUAACUCUUCUUCUUCUCUUGGCCUUUAAAAAAGUAUUUACAGAAAAAGUGAUAAAACCAAACCACUAGGCAGAGAGUAAAUGUUGCCUCAAGCUAGUUCUGUAUCAGUACCUGUAUCACCAGUUAACUAGACAGUAGCUUGCAGUUUCCUCAAAAUUAGUUGGAAAGCAAAAAAGUCCUUGCAGUCUGUUCACCACAAGGCAACAUUGAAUUGAUAGCAGUUAAUUUAUAAGUUAGCCCUUUAAAAAUAUGAAAAAAGAGUGAAAAUUGCCCAUCAUACUUGCUCUUCAUUAUCAAUAUAGACCUAUGUAUGUAAUGUUACCUUUUGCAAAGUAUUUCAGAGUUAUCAGGUAAGAUCUGAACAGGUGCUUACUUUAACAUUCUGUUUUGAGGCAAAGGAAGCAGAAGUCACCAGCAUCUCAGUUAAGUUUCGUAUCCUGUCCUCCUGUACUUUUUGAAGGGAAUUUUUUUCUUCCAACAGCUGGGCCAGCUGAUCCUUUUCCAUUGCGUGAAUCUGAGUUUUUGAAGACACCUUCCAAGAGAAUAAUCACACUGACAUUUUAAGAGCAGAAACCACUCCUACAGAAGAUACACAAUUACUGAUACUUAAAAAUAACUACAUACAUAUACUCCUUUAAGUCUGGAAGAGAAAUCUUUAAUCCUUAAGAAGGAAACUGACAGUUUAGUCUACAUUUUGACUGCAGACUUAGUAUUUAAAAGUGGUCAAAACUCCCAGAAACAAUACAGUCCCAGAUUUUUCUACAUAUAAAAAGAGCAUUCUCCCAAACAUAACUCACUACCUGCUAUCACAGAAGACACGAAACAUACUCCCAAGUUCACGUUGCAAAUCCAUUAUCAUUAAAAAGAAGAAAUAAUUUUUCUAAAAAUUUUCUCUAAUGAUAUUUAUAAUUGCAAUAAAAAAUGUGCAUUCUUUGAUUUGAUGCACUAGAACAGUAAGUUCAUCAUUGUUAUUUUCCUGCGCUUUACGUUUUAUUAUCUGUGGUCUAACAGGACUUGCAAGAUUCUUCCACCGCUCCAGAGAUUUUUAGAGAAGGAAAAACAUCAGGGACCACAUUGUUUGAAGCCCUUCAGAAGAUCCAAGUCAUUAAAGAUCCAGCAGAUUACAUUUUCACCCCUCAAACCUGUCUACAAUAACUAGUGCUGGAGAAGAGGUGAGAAGCUUUACCUGAAGAGUGCUGAGUGUCUCAUCAAAAGAAACAGGAGUAAUUGUACAAAUAAUAACUGUUUUAGCAUUUCCUCCAAGGGAGUUCUGCAGAAUUCGAGUCAGCUUGCUGUCUCUGUAAUUUAUGAAGCUAAUAAAAAAGAAGCAACAACAACAAAAAAUGUCAGAUUUCUGCAUUAACAUGGUAAAUACCUUUUCUAGAGGUAACAGGUUAUGUCAAACAGCUACCUACAUAAGAUUAUAAAGAAAGGAUUUUAAUUUCUUAGUUUAGCAGUGCUAUCUUAUAACAGGUGUACAAACAGUUGCUUACCCAGAAGGGUCAUCACAAAGUUUUUUGAUAACUUGACCCAGGAUGAACAAGCUCCGAUUUAUAUUACAGCCUUCUUUCAGUCGAACACCUAGGUACCACAAAUUUUAUUGUUAUUAUUUUUAAUUUAAAACAAUAUUAAGAUACAUUUUCAACCUGUCAAAUUUUGUGUUAUGUUAUGCUCAGUCAAGAGGGAUUUAUUAACCAAGAGUUAAACCUUAAGUGCCACAAUGCACUA